GAGGAUUGAGAGAUUUUUUUGGAGAUAAGGAGCUCGAGGACAAAGGCAAGGAAUAAAGCUAAACAUAAGAAACAAGAACAGUAUCCGGUUGAGAUGAUGAUCAUGCAGUACCAGAGUUAGAUACUGUAUAACAUCACUGAGCCAGCAUGGUCUUCUGUACUGGGCCCAUUGCCUAAGGACGCAUAUGUAAUUUUUCA